GAGUUGGCCAGGCAGUCGCUCUAUUCACUUUGAAUAGAGAGGAAAGUCCGGGCUCCAUAGGGCAGAGUGCCAGGUAACGCCUGGGAAGUGAAAGCUUACGGAAAGUGCAACAGAAAGAUACCGCCUAUGCAAUUGUAUGGGUAAGGGUGAAAUGGUGCGGUAAGAGCGCACCGCGUAAGUGGUAACAGUUACGGCAUGGCAAACCCCACUCGGAGCAAGACCAAAUAGGAAUCCAAUAGGUGCGGCCCGCACUGGAUUCGGGUAGGUCGCUUGAGGCGCAUGGUGACGUGCGUCCUAGAUGAAUGAUUGUCCACGACAGAACCCGGCUUAUAGGCCGGCUCC
rnacentral:RNase_P_RNA from 1 species